rnacentral:rRNA from 1 species
AACGAACGCUGGCGGCAUGCCUAACACAUGCAAGUCGAACGAGACCUUCGGGUCUAGUGGCGCACGGGUGCGUAACGCGUGGGAAUCUGCCCUUGGGUUCGGAAUAACAGUUGGAAACGACUGCUAAUACCGGAUGAUGACGUAAGUCCAAAGAUUUAUCGCCCAAGGAUGAGCCCGCGUAGGAUUAGCUAGUUGGUGAGGUAAAGGCUCACCAAGGCGACGAUCCUUAGCUGGUCUGAGAGGAUGAUCAGCCACACUGGGACUGAGACACGGCCCAGACUCCUACGGGAGGCAGCAGUGGGGAAUAUUGGACAAUGGGCGAAAGCCUGAUCCAGCAAUGCCGCGUGAGUGAUGAAGGCCUUAGGGUUGUAAAGCUCUUUUACCCGGGAUGAUAAUGACAUUACCGGGAGAAUAAGCACCGGCUAACUCCGUG